AAUCAGUUAUGGUUCACUAGAUCGUACAGUUUACAUGGAUAACUGUGGUAAUUCUAGAGCUAAUACAUGCAUUUAGCUCGCUCUCUCGGGAGCGAGCGCAGUUAUUAGAAUAAAACCAAUCCGGCCUUCGGGUCGGUAAAAUUGGUGACUCUGAAUAACCGAAGCGGAGCGCAUGGUCUCGUACCGGCGCCAGAUCUUUCAAGUGUCUGACUUAUCAGCUUGUUGGUAGGUUAUGUGCCUACCAAGGCUUCGACGGGUAACGGGGUGUCAGGGCCCGACACCGGAGAGGGAGCCUGAGAAACGGCUACCACAUCCAAGGAAGGCAGCAGGCGCGCAAAUUACCCACUCCCGGCACGGGGAGGUAGUGACGAAAAAUAACGAUGCGAGAGCUUUUAGCUUUUCGUAAUCGGAAUGGGUACACUUUAAAUCCUUUAACGAGGAUCUAUUGGAGGGCAAGUCUGGUGCCAGCAGCCGCGGUAAUUCCAGCUCCAAUAGCGUAUAUUAAAGUUGCUGCGGUUAAAAAGCUCGUAGUUGGAUCUGGGUUGCUCGAUGAGCGGUGCGUCUUCACGGCGUAACUGUUUGUUCGGCACCACAGCCCGGUUAUGUCUUGCAUGCCCUUCACUGGGUGUGCUUGGCGACCGGAACGUUUACUUUGAAAAAAUUAGAGUGCUCAAAGCAGGCGUAUGGCCUUGCAUAAUGGUGCAUGGAAUAAUGGAAUAGGACCUCGGUUCUAUUUUGUUGGUUUUCGGAGCUCGAGGUAAUGAUUAAUAGGAACAGACGGGGGCAUUCGUAUUGCGGCGUUAGAGGUGAAAUUCUUGGAUCGUCGCAAGACGCACUACUGCGAAAGCAUUUGCCAAGAAUGUUUUCAU
rnacentral:rRNA from 1 species